rnacentral:lncRNA from 1 species
CUUAUUUUUCUUAUUUCCCAUGCUGUUAACUUUCUUUCUCUAUUCCGUUCAUCAUCAAUUCUUCACCAUCAUCAUCAAUCGCCCAAUUCAACACUUAUUCUCAGAAUCUUCAUCUUAGGCUGGCUUCCAAAUAUGAAUGAUAUUUUCUACAUUCAUGGUAGUUUGCUGAGAAGAUUUCAUCUAUUUAUCUAAUCUUCAUCGAAUUCGGCAACACCUUGAAUGUGGCAGCAUUGAUGUUCCAAUCGCAGCUUUAUGAAUUAGGUGGAUGAACUGUUAUUUCCGUAUUAGACGAUGCCACUGCCGUGUGAGUAUCUCCCAACAAAUUUGUUUAAAUUUCAAAAUGAUCCUUUAAAUUGAAAAUCUUCGUUCACGUAUGUGAUAUUUUGAACUCUCCACCGAUGCAAAGUGAGUCUGAAGAAUUACUGAAGUGUCCACGAAAAUAGAACCAGUGCAGGAGAAAAAAUAAAGAGCUUAGCACAAAUAGGAUUUUUGAAGUUAUUUAGUGGUUGCCUUAUCGCAUUUGAAGGUUUGCAGGGAGAUGAAUGGAAAAUUGAAAUUUAUCACAGCAUUCGUUGGUAAAAACUACUGAAGUGUUGAAGAAAAUCGAACGAGUAAAGGAGAAAAGAUGAAGAGCUUGUUUGAGUCUUUAGAACAAAUAUAAUUUCUGAAGUUAUUUAGUGGUUGCCUUAUUGCAUUUGAGGUUUUGCAGAUAUGACUGAGAACCUACAUAUGCGUAAAGAGACCAUGACAAGCAGUUCCCGCAAGGAGAGAGUGACAGUGAACCCUACUAAAAUCUGCAUUUCCAACGAUGUGCUGCACUGUCUGUAAAGAGAAGUGACAUAUUGGCUCUUGCUAUAGGUGGUGCUUACCUAAAGAUUCUUGAUGGCUACAUUAGUUCAUAUGUUGUUGCUAUCUGAUGAAUGGAAAAUUUAAAUUUGUUGGUCGAGGGUUGAGUACCUCGAUUGGUUUGAGCUAAGGGUUAAGAAGUUGGAGGUCGUCUGUUCAAAUUUUGGUAAUGUCGACAUUGUCCAUGACAGUGAUUAUAAUUAUGAUGUGUUGUUCAAUUUUAAUAUUUAAGGCUCAUUCUACGCAUGCUGAUAACUUAAUCCUGCCAAGCCCUGUAUAUUAACAUUGAUUAGUUGCUCAAUAUUACAGGUGGAUAUCUAAGCUGUAUUUCGAUGAUAUUCUAGAAAAUACAGAAGC